rnacentral:lncRNA from 10 species
ACAAGAAAGCAAAACUGCACUCCACCUGGGCAACAGCGUGAGACCCCCAUCUCAAAAAAAAAAAAAAAAAAAAAUUUUUGGGACAAACUGGUUGGGUGCUUAAAAACAUAGAAGGAUCAACAUUUCUGUGAUUUUUUUUUUUCUUUUUAACUUCCUGGGCCAUGUGAUGGAUCGUACUGCUAACCAGCCAGCAGGUAGAAUUUGAGGCGCUGAUCUUUCUCUCUGCAGCUGGACUUUUCCGC